rnacentral:lncRNA from 1 species
CUUGGAUGGCAGUCAUUCACUAAGACAAAAAAAAAAGUAAUAAACAUAAAUGAGAUAAGUAGAUCUGGAGAAUAAACUAAUUUGAUUUUGGACACAUUAAGUUUAAAAGAAAAAAAGAGAAAGAACUGGCAAGAAAAAAGAAAGAAAGAAAAAAAAAAUCUUGUGGGAGUCCUUAAUCUUUAUUCUGGCAACAGUUUUUAACCGGACAGCUGGAGCUGGGUGCUUGACUCUUCUGCCUUGCGAAUGUCCUGUCCACCCUGCCCAAGCCCUGGGAAGGCAGAACCGGCCUCUGCCGAGCUUGGCCUUCAGACACCUCCUCCGAGGCACGGCGUUCACUGUGAGCUUGUGGACAGUUCUUGUGAGCUCGAGCUAUAAGGAAGCUCCUUAAAUGACAUGAGAAACGCAAAGGUUUUGGAUACCAUACUCCCCUGCUCUAAGAUACACUUUUCAUUUUCACAUCUGAAGAUCCCCGUCACCAGGAUUCAUCUCACAACUGAUGGCGCCCUCCCUCAGCUGUCAGCGCGAACUUUCACGGAAGCUAUUAGCAAGAACCAGCAUGAUGGGGGAGAAGCACCGCUGUAUUCGUCACUACAAAACUCCAGAACAAAUUCACUGAAAGCUUUUAUUAGGGGAUUUGACUUUCUCCCAAGGAAGAUCGUUGCCUUCUGUUGCCUUCUGCUCUGUCCCUAGAGCCCAGAUCUCACAGUUUCUAGUCCAGAGUCCAGACAGAGUUGGCAGAGAAAAGUGACUCGAGUUCCUUGAAAACAAACCACACAUCCCUUCAUCUCUGCACCCCCUCCAGAGCCUUGCAGUCUUCACUGUCAUCACAUUCAAGCACAUGCUGCAUAAAGGAAGGAAGCGGGAAUGGAAUGGACAGGUAGCAUGCUGUGAAUAUAAAGACACUCAGUGGAUUCCUGGCCACUUGGACAGUGGAAGGGGAUUUUCUCAGAGCCACCAAAACCAAUAUUCUAGGCUCACCUAACAUAAUGUAACUGAGAAUUCUUGGUUCUAAUUUGAGGCACCUGAUACAUAAAGGAAGGCGCAUAGGAUGGAGGCCCCAGAGACCGUAUUUAUUACUCAAUGGGGCAGGAAAUUGGGAGAAGGCUCUGGUGUCCAGGAGAAGAGUUCAGGCCAGUGGAUUAAGCCCCAUCAUGAGCCAGGAACUGAGCUAGUCCUGGCUGAAAAUGCAACCACAGCACACACUUCUGCUCUCAAGGGGCUUAGGGUUCGGCGGGGGAGAGACUUACAUAAUACACAUGUGAGACAGUCACAAGUGCGAGAAGCCAUGUCUGCUCAUUUGUGCUUGUCAAGAUAAUUUCACACAGUCCCUGAAUCUGUGAGGCCAUGCAGCUCUUUGGGAAGAUGCUUUGAAGACAAAACAGGAUGGACCACAUGGCUCCCACACCACUUGCCUGAGUCACUAUGCUCCUUAAAAGAUGAAUGACCCUAGCCUUGACUUUUCCUACACAGAAGAUAACGUUUGACAGGGUUAGUGACUAUGCCUCUGUAAUUCAUUACUAAAUGCAUUUUAGUCAUCUAUAACCAGAUAUACUCUGGCACCCAGACUUUGACGUGAUUUUGCACGUACUGAACCUUCACCACCCGUCCAUAAACUGUGAGCUGAAACACCACAUUGGAGCCUCUGAUGGAACUGCUCCCGGGCUGUAGACCUCCAUCUACAGUCUUCGGUAAGGCUUCUGAAUAAAACUAACUUUAAUUCUUUAAAAGUUUGAUUUGUU